rnacentral:rRNA from 1 species
GUAGCGUAUAUUAAAGUUGUUGCAGUUAAAAAGCUCGUAGUCGAACUUCGGGCCUGGCGGGAUGGUCCGUCUUACGGCGUGUACUGUCUGGCCGGGCCUUACCUCUUGGUGAGGCCAUAUGCCCUUUGCUGGGUGUGUGGUGGAACCAGGAAUUUUACCUUGAGAAAAUUAGAGUGUUCAAAGCAGGCAUAUGCCCGAAUACAUUAGCAUGGAAUAAUAGAAUAGGACGUGCGGUUCUAUUUUGUUGGUUUCUAGGAUUGCCGUAAUGAUUAAUAGGGACGGUCGGGGGCAUUAGUAUUCAGUUGCUAGAGGUGAAAUUCUUAGAUUCACUGAAGACUAACUUCUG